rnacentral:sRNA from 1 species
GCCAGAUGUGGUGGCCCACGCCUGCAAUCCCAGCAACUAGGGAGGCUGAGGCAGGAGGAUCACAAGGUUGAGGCCAGCCUCAGCAACUUGGUGAGGCCCUGAGCAAUUAGCAAGAUUCUGUCUCAA